rfam:Mycobacterium sp. 1274761.0 strain 1274761 contig_72, whole genome shotgun sequence.
GAUUGACCGCGCAUCGCGGCCUCUGCCCGAGCCGGCCCUGGCGUACUUCCCCGACGCCAGGUCCCCCCACUCGGGCAGAGACCACGGUGUGCGGCCGCGAAUCU